GGCGAUACCGCGGACGGCUCAUUAAAUCAGUCGUGGUCCAAAUGGGUCCGUCCUCACGGUAUACUUGGAUAACCGUGGUAAUUCCAGAGCUAAUACAUGCAACUCAUAUCCCGAGGUGUGUGCAUUUUUGUGUGCAUACCGACGGAAGCACUUAUUAGACCAAUGCCUAACGGCUGGUGGUGUGCCUUGUGCGCGCUCACUGCCGCCGCCCGCAUAAAUGGUGACUCUGGAUAAUUACUUGGACGAGCGCACGUAUCUGUUCAAGCAGAACGGCGCCGCCUCUUUCGAGUGUCUGCCUUAUCAGCCAUCAAUCGCUCGUUAUGUGCGAACGAUGGCCUUGACGGGUAACGGGGAAUCAGGGUUCGAUUCCGGAGAGGCAGCCUGAGAAACGGCUACCACGUCUAAGGACGGCAGCAGGCACGCAAAUUACCCAAUCCCAGAACUCUGGGGAGGUAGUGACGAAAAAUAACGAUGCGGGCGCUCCUUCUGGAGCCCCGCAAUCGGAAUGAGUAUGUCUUAAAUAACCUGUCGAGAACCCACUGAAGGGCAAGUCUGGUGCCAGCAGCCGCGGUAAUUCCAGCUUCAGUAGCAUCUAUUAAAGUUGCUGCGGUUAAAAGGCUCGCAGUUGGAGCCACUGGUGUUUGGUAUAUGGAGCAGCUGGACGUUGGGUACCUCGUGUCCCCGUCCUGUUGUCUGCUCCUGACUCUAUGGCACUGAAUAUGGGAAAGCCUCGCGCGGCUUGGGCGAUUUGCUCAGAGGUGUUGGUGUUGGACGUUUUGAGGGUUUAUCUCUCUUUUCGUUUCAAGCCCCCUCUGUGUCCUUGCUUGCGCGGGGUGGCUCCUGUGUCACCUUGAGUAAAUCAUGGUGCUCACAGCAGUCGUGCGGGCCUCGUGCCCUGUGAACAGUCUUUGCGGACUGAAUUGGUUUUGCAAGGCAUGACGAAACAUGACGUCGCUGCUGGUCGCGGGCGGAGGAAGAUUUGUGUGCUCCGGCGCGCAUUCUCUCUUACCGGUGUGUUUAUGCCAGCAGCGACGUAAUGAUCAAUGGAGACGGUAGCUGGCAUUGGUAUUGCGCGGCGAGAGGUGAAAUUCUGCGACCCCCGCAAGACCUCCUAAAGCGAAGGCGUGCUGCCAAGGA
rnacentral:rRNA from 1 species